UGACAACCAGGGGAACAAAUUGACAGC
rnacentral:piRNA from 1 species